rnacentral:rRNA from 1 species
GUUGAUAAGGUUAAGUGAAUAAGGGCGCACGGUGGAUGCCUUGGCACUAGGAGCCGAUGAAGGACGGGACUAACACCGAUAUGCUUUGGGGAGCUGUAAGUAAGCUAUGAUCCAGAGAUUUCCGAAUGGGGGAACCCAAUAUCUUUUAUAGGAUAUUACUUUUCAGUGAAUACAUAGCUGAUUAGAGGUAGACGCAGAGAACUGAAACAUCUUAGUACCUGCAGGAAGAGAAAGAAAAUUCGAUUCCCUGAGUAGCGGCGAGCGAAACGGGAAGAGCCCAAACCAACAAGCUUGCUUGUUGGGGUUGUAGGACUCCAAUAUGGUAGUCUGUUAGUAUAGUUGAAGGAUUUGGAAAAUUCCGCUAAAGAGGGUGAAAGCCCCGUAGACGAAAUGCUGACAACACCUAGGAGGAUCCUGAGUACGGCGGAACACGAGAAAUUCCGUCGGAAUCCGCGGGGACCAUCCCGCAAGGCUAAAUACUCCCUAGUGACCGAUAGUGAACCAGUACCGUGAGGGAAAGGUGAAAAGCACCCCGGAAGGGGAGUGAAAUAGAUCCUGAAACCGUGUGCCUACAACAAGUCAAAGCUCGUUAAUGAGUGAUGGCGUGCCUUUUGUAGAAUGAACCGGCGAGUUACGAUUGCAUGCGAGGUUAAGUCGAAGAGACGGAGCCGCAGCGAAAGCGAGUCUGAAUAGGGCGAAUGAGUAUGUAGUCGUAGACCCGAAACCAUGUGAUCUACCCAUGUCCAGGUUGAAGGUGCGGUAAAACGCACUGGAGGACCGAACCCACGUACGUUGAAAAGUGCGGGGAUGAGGUGUGGGUAGCGGAGAAAUUCCAAACGAACUUGGAGAUAGCUGGUUCUCUCCGAAAUAGCUUUAGGGCUAGCCUCGGAAUUGAGAAUGAUGGAGGUAGAGCACUGUUUGGACUAGGGGCCCAUCUCGGGUUACCGAAUUCAGAUAAACUCCGAAUGCCAUUCAUUUAUAUCCGGGAGUCAGACUGCGAGUGAUAAGAUCCGUAGUCGAAAGGGAAACAGCCCAGACCACCAGCUAAGGUCCCAAAAUAUAUGUUAAGUGGAAAAGGAUGUGGGGUUGCACAGACAACUAGGAUGUUGGCUUAGAAGCAGCCACCAUUUAAAGAGUGCGUAAUAGCUCACUAGUCGAGUGACCCUGCGCCGAAAAUGUACCGGGGCUAAACAUAUUACCGAAGCUGUGGACUACACCAUUAGGUGUAGUGGUAGGAGAGCGUUCUAAGGGCGUUGAAGGUCGAUCGUGAGGACGGCUGGAGCGCUUAGAAGUGAGAAUGCCGGUAUGAGUAGCGAAAGACAGGUGAGAAUCCUGUCCACCGUAUGACUAAGGUUUCCUGGGGAAGGCUCGUCCGCCCAGGGUUAGUCGGGACCUAAGCCGAGG